AACGAACGCUGGCGGCAGGCCUAACACAUGCAAGUCGAGCGGACCUUUCGGGGUCAGCGGCGGACGGGUGAGUAACGCGUGGGAAUAUGCCCUUCUCUACGGAAUAGUCCUGGGAAACUGGGGGUAAUACCGUAUACGCCCUUUGGGGGAAAGAUUUAUCGGGGAAGGAUUAGCCCGCGUUGGAUUAGGUAGUUGGUGGGGUAAUGGCCUACCAAGCCGACGAUCCAUAGCUGGUUUGAGAGGAUGAUCAGCCACACUGGGACUGAGACACGGCCCAGACCACUACGGGAGGCGGCAGGGGGGAAGCGUAGACAAGGGGGGCAAGCCUGAUAUCGCCAUGCCGUGGGAGUGAAAAAAGCCUUAGGGUUGUAAAGCUCUUUCAUAUGGGAAGAUAAUGACGGUACCAGAAGAAGAAGCCCCGGCUAACCCCUU
rnacentral:rRNA from 1 species